rnacentral:rRNA from 1 species
GGAAGCUUGCUUCCUAGAGACCGGCGCACGGGUGCGUAACGCGUAUGCAAUCUACCUUGUACAGGGGGAUAGCCCAGAGAAAUUUGGAUUAAUACCCCAUAGUAUUAUUGAGUGGCAUCACUUAAUUAUUAAAGUUCCAACGGUACAAGAUGAGCAUGCGUCCUAUUAGCUAGUUGGUGUGGUAACGGCAUACCAAGGCUACGAUAGGUAGGGGUCCUGAGAGGGAGAUCCCCCACACUGGUACUGAGACACGGACCAGACUCCUACGGGAGGCAGCAGUGAGGAAUAUUGGACAAUGGGCGCAAGCCUGAUCCAGCCAUGCCGCGUGCAGGAAGAAGCAUCUAUGGUGUGUAAACUGCUUUUGUACGGGAAGAAACACUGCUACGUGUAGCAGCUUGACGGUACCGUAAGAAUAAGGAUCGGCUAACUCCGUGCCAGCAGCCGCGGUAAUACGGAGGAUCCAAGCGUUAUCCGGAAUCAUUGGGUUUAAAGGGUCCGUAGGCGGUCUAAUAAGUCAGUGGUGAAAGCCCAUCGCUCAACGAUGGAACGGCCAUUGAUACUGUUAGACUUGAAUUAUUGGGAAGUAACUAGAAUAUGUAGUGUAGCGGUGAAAUGCUUAGAUAUUACAUGGAAUACCAAUUGCGAAGGCAGGUUACUAUCAAUAUAUUGACGCUGAUGGACGAAAGCGUGGGGAGCGAACAGGAUUAGAUACCCUGGUAGUCCACGCCGUAAACGAUGGAUACU